rnacentral:rRNA from 1 species
AUGGUGGCGCAGGAAGUGUGGGCGUCGACAUGGCUGGAACCCCAUGGUCAUGAGACUAGCAAUGUAGUCGUCGUCGUCCUUUUUGGGCUCUGCUGUGUUUGGUCUAUUUGGGAUUCUGUGUACAACUUUUUUCUCCGUAUGAGAGUUAACUGUAGUUUGUCAGGUUACUGGUUGACGAUGCUCUUGUUCAUGUUACCAAGGAUGAUGGAGGGAGUAGUUGUUUAUGCUUUCAUGUUGGGUUUGGGUGGCUACUGCCCAGCCCGUAUGGUGUGUAUAUGUGCGUGUGUGUAUUGGGUUUGGGUGGCUAAUGCCCAGCCCGUAUGGUGUGUGUAUGUGCGUGUAUGUAAAUACCGGAAUGAUUUCAGCAACCGAAUUUGGAGUCUGUAA